UUAAGUAGACGGGGACAGAUCUUGUGUGUGCAUGCAUGUGUACCUGUGUGUCCGAGCAUGUAUGUGUGUGUUCACCACACUAGUGGUUUUCCUUUGGAUAAGCAGGCAAGAAAGAUUAAAGAUGUGGGUUCCACAUAUUUUGUGAUGUGAUGAAAUCCAGGCACACAGACAGCAUCAGCAAAUGUGCAAUUGAAUAUUAAAAUGAGUAAUGUGGCCCUAAAGUGUUCAAUGCCAUCCCAGGCUGCCCUCCAUGAGACAGGUGGCAGGCAAUGCCUAAAUCAAGGGGACAUAGUGCACGCUCUGCCAUGGGCAUCUCAGGCCUCUGCCCUCUGGGUUCCAGCCCCUCUCUAACCUGGUUCUCACUUCUCCCUGUCCACUCUAUCCACCAAAGCCGCCUUCUCGCUCCCACUAAGUACGUUCUUGGCUCUGGCUUUGUUCCCACCCCACCCCUCUUCCCUCCUUUCUUUUCAAUGUCCUGCUCAUGCUCGGAGGCCUGACUCCAACACCA
rnacentral:lncRNA from 1 species